rnacentral:rRNA from 1 species
AGAGUUUGAUCAUGGCUCAGGACGAACGCUGGCGGCGUGCCUAAUACAUGCAAGUCGAGCGGACUUAAAAAGCUUGCUUUUUAAGUUAGCGGCGGACGGGUGAGUAACACGUGGGCAACCUGCCUGUAAGACUGGGAUAACUUCGGGAAACCGGAGCUAAUACCGGAUAAUCCUUUUCUACUCAUGUAGAAAAGCUGAAAGACGGUUUACGCUGUCACUUACAGAUGGGCCCGCGGCGCAUUAGCUAGUUGGUGAGGUAACGGCUCACCAAGGCGACGAUGCGUAGCCGACCUGAGAGGGUGAUCGGCCACACUGGGACUGAGACACGGCCCAGACUCCUACGGGAGGCAGCAGUAGGGAAUCUUCCGCAAUGGACGAAAGUCUGACGGAGCAACGCCGCGUGAGUGAUGAAGGUUUUCGGAUCGUAAAACUCUGUUGUUAGGGAAGAACAAGUACGAGAGUAACUGCUCGUACCUUGACGGUACCUAACCAGAAAGCCACGGCUAACUACGUGCCAGCAGCCGCGGUAAUACGUAGGUGGCAAGCGUUGUCCGGAAUUAUUGGGCGUAAAGCGCGCGCAGGCGGUCCUUUAAGUCUGAUGUGAAAGCCCACGGCUCAACCGUGGAGGGUCAUUGGAAACUGGGGGACUUGAGUGCAGAAGAGAAGAGUGGAAUUCCACGUGUAGCGGUGAAGUGCGUAGAGAUGUGGAGGAACACCAGUGGCGAAAGCGACUCUUUGGUCUGUAACUGACGCUGAGCGCGAAAGCGUGGGGAGCAAACAGGAUUAGAUACCCUGCUAGUCCACGCCGUAAACGAUGAGUGCUAAGUGUUAGAGGGUUUCCGCCCUUUAGUGCUGCAGCAAACGCAUUAAGCACUCCGCCUGGGAGUACGGCCGCAGGCUGAAACUCAAAGAAUUGACGGGGCCCGCACAGCGGUGGAGCAUGUGGUU